rnacentral:rRNA from 1 species
UCAAGUGAAGAAGCGCAUACGGUGGAUGCCUUGGCAGUCAGAGGCGAUGAAAGACGUGGUAGCCUGCGAUAAGCUUCGGGAGUCGGCAAACAGACUUUGAUCCGGAGAUCUCUGAAUGGGGGAACCCACCUAGGAUAACCUAGGUAUCUUGUACUGAAUCCAUAGGUGCAAGAGGCGAACCAGGGGAACUGAAACAUCUAAGUACCCUGAGGAAAAGAAAUCAACCGAGAUUCCCUUAGUAGUGGCGAGCGAACGGGGAUUAGCCCUUAAGCUUCAUUGAUUUUAGCGGAACGCUCUGGAAAGUGCGGCCAUAGUGGGUGAUAGCCCCGUACGCGAAAGGAUCUUUGAAGUGAAAUCGAGUAGGACGGAGCACGAGAAACUUUGUCUGAACAUGGGGGGACCAUCCUCCAAGGCUAAAUACUACUGACUGACCGAUAGUGAACCAGUACCGUGAGGGAAAGGCGAAAAGAACCCCGGAGAGGGGAGUGAAAUAGAACCUGAAACCGUAUGCGUACAAGCAGUGGGAGCCUACUUGUUAGGUGACUGCGUACCUUUUGUAUAAUGGGUCAGCGACUUAUAUUCAGUGGCGAGCUUAACCGAAUAGGGUAGGCGUAGCGAAAGCGAGUCUUAAUAGGGCGUUUAGUCGCUGGGUAUAGACCCGAAACCGGGCGAUCUAUCCAUGAGCAGGUUGAAGGUUAGGUAACACUGACUGGAGGACCGAACCCACUCCCGUUGAAAAGGUAGGGGAUGACUUGUGGAUCGGAGUGAAAGGCUAAUCAAGCUCGGAGAUAGCUGGUUCUCCUCGAAAGCUAUUUAGGUAGCGCCUCAUGUAUCACUCUGGGGGGUAGAGCACUGUUUCGGCUAGGGGGUCAUCCCGACUUACCAAACCGAUGCAAACUCCGAAUACCCAGAAGUGCCGAGCAUGGGAGACACACGGCGGGUGCUAACGUCCGUCGUGAAAAGGGAAACAACCCAGACCGCCAGCUAAGGUCCCAAAGUUGUGGUUAAGUGGUAAACGAUGUGGGAAGGCUUAGACAGCUAGGAGGUUGGCUUAGAAGCAGCCAUCCUUUAAAGAAAGCGUAAUAGCUCACUAGUCGAGUCGGCCUGCGCGGAAGAUGUAACGGGGCUCAAACCACACACCGAAGCUGCGGGUGUCACGUAAGUGACGCCGGUAGAGGAGCGUUCUGUAAGCCUGUGAAGGUGAGUUGAGAAGCUUGCUGGAGGUAUCAGAAGUGCGAAUGCUGACAUGAGUAACGACAAUGGGUGUGAAAAACACCCACGCCGAAAGACCAAGGGUUCCUGCGCAACGUUAAUCGACGCAGGGUUAGUCGGUUCCUAAGGCGAGGCUGAAAAGCGUAGUCGAUGGGAAACAGGUUAAUAUUCCUGUACUUCUGGUUACUGCGAUGGAGGGACGGAGAAGGCUAGGCCAGCUUGGCGUUGGUUGUCCAAGUUUAAGGUGGUAGGCUGAAAUCUUAGGUAAAUCCGGGGUUUCAAGGCCGAGAGCUGAUGACGAGUCGUCUUUUAGAUGACGAAGUGGUUGAUGCCAUGCUUCCAAGAAAAGCUUCUAAGCUUCAGGUAACCAGGAACCGUACCCCAAACCGACACAGGUGGUCGGGUAGAGAAUACCAAGGCGCUUGAGAGAACUCGGGUGAAGGAACUAGGCAAAAUGGCACCGUAACUUCGGGAGAAGGUGCGCCGGCUAGGGUGAAGGAUUUACUCCGUAAGCUCUGGCUGGUCGAAGAUACCAGGCCGCUGCGACUGUUUAUUAAAAACACAGCACUCUGCAAACACGAAAGUGGACGUAUAGGGUGUGACGCCUGCCCGGUGCCGGAAGGUUAAUUGAUGGGGUUAGCGCAAGCGAAGCUCUUGAUCGAAGCCCCGGUAAACGGCGGCCGUAACUAUAACGGUCCUAAGGUAGCGAAAUUCCUUGUCGGGUAAGUUCCGACCUGCACGAAUGGCGUAACGAUGGCGGCGCUGUCUCCACCCGAGACUCAGUGAAAUUGAAAUCGCUGUGAAGAUGCAGUGUAUCCGCGGCUAGACGGAAAGACCCCGUGAACCUUUACUGUAGCUUUGCACUGGACUUUGAGCCUGCUUGUGUAGGAUAGGUGGGAGGCUUUGAAGCGUGGACGCCAGUUCGCGUGGAGCCAUCCUUGAAAUACCACCCUGGCAUGCUUGAGGUUCUAACUCUGGUCCGUGAUCCGGAUCGAGGACAGUGUAUGGUGGGCAGUUUGACUGGGGCGGUCUCCUCCUAAAGAGUAACGGAGGAGUACGAAGGUGCGCUCAGACCGGUCGGAAAUCGGUCGCAGAGUAUAAAGGCAAAAGCGCGCUUGACUGCGAGACAGACACGUCGAGCAGGUACGAAAGUAGGUCUUAGUGAUCCGGUGGUUCUGUAUGGAAGGGCCAUCGCUCAACGGAUAAAAGGUACUCCGGGGAUAACAGGCUGAUACCGCCCAAGAGUUCAUAUCGACGGCGGUGUUUGGCACCUCGAUGUCGGCUCAUCACAUCCUGGGGCUGAAGCCGGUCCCAAGGGUAUGGCUGUUCGCCAUUUAAAGUGGUACGCGAGCUGGGUUUAGAACGUCGUGAGACAGUUCGGUCCCUAUCUGCCGUGGACGUUUGAGAUUUGAGAGGGGCUGCUCCUAGUACGAGAGGACCGGAGUGGACGAACCUCUGGUGUUCCGGUUGUCACGCCAGUGGCAUUGCCGGGUAGCUAUGUUCGGAAAAGAUAACCGCUGAAAGCAUCUAAGCGGGAAACUUGCCUCAAGAUGAGAUCUCACUGGGAACUUGAUUCCCCUGAAGGGCCGUCGAAGACUACGACGUUGAUAGGCUGGGUGUGUAAGCGUUGUGAGGCGUUGAGCUAACCAGUACUAAUUGCCCGUGAGGCUUGACCAU